ensembl:lncRNA
CCUUCCGCCGCGGGGUCACGUGACAUCCCGUCGGUAACGCAAGAUGGCGGCGCCCAUGUUGCUGCCCGAGUCCCCUCUGGGGAAGCUGAGCCAUCAGAAAUACAGAGCCAUUCUGAAGAAAGAAAAGCGGAAAAAAAAGCGGCAGGCACUUGCCAAACUGAGAGACUCAGAAGCUACAGAAAAAGAUGAAUCGGUAUCUGAGGAGGAAGACGAGGAGCUCGAAGAAGAAGAAGAUGAGGAAGAGGAAAAAAAACUUGAGGCAGAAAGACAAAAACUACACGAACAGUGGUUGCUGAGGGAAGAAAAGGCUCAAGAAGAGUUCAAGCUUAAGAAAGAAAAAGAAGAGGCUGCAAGAAAACGUCAAGAGGAAGAAGAGGUGAUAUAUAAACUUAGUGUUAUAGUUAUAUCUGGUAAUAAGGAAGACUUAGUUAAACUUUGUUUCACAUCUUCUGCUGUAGUGUACCAAGUUUUGUUGAUGUUGAUGUCUAAAAAUGUAAGUUCUUUUCUUCAUUUCGUUCUAGAAGAGCAAAAUUAAAAAUACACUAAAAUACUCAUGUAAUGGGUUUUUAUUAAGAGAUACAGUGUCUUAUGAUUGAAUGAUAAUGGUCAAGGAGUUAAAAUGCAGCAUGAUUGUUUUGAAUUUGAUUUUAGUGAUUAUAAAGUAUUUAUUUGUUUCCUUGAGUAACUUUUUCUUUUUUUUUUUAUCAUAAAGAGAAAGAUCAAAGAAGAAUGGGAAGAGCAGCAAAGAAAAGAGAGAGAAGUGGCACAGCAGAAGCAACAGGAGAAGAGAGAAAGAGAGGUGAUUCCUGGCAGUGGGAGGAUAAACAUACUACAUAUCCUCUUGCAUUAUCUGAUGCACCAAUCUAUGCAUGUUGAAAAAGGAUUUUAUUCUAUAAGUGCAUGAAUCUGUUAAUUACUUCUCUUUGUUCUAAGUUGCUGAAAUUAUACUUCACUGUUGAAGAAGAUGUAACUCCAUUUACCCAGGAGGAUAACUGAUUCUAAUGCAUUUCUAUGUGCUUUUUUACACUGGUUAAACACAGAGGCACACAAUGAAUGCAGUUUCUGGUAUUUGUACUUUUUACAUUUUACAGUAAAGAUAGUUCUUAUUUAAUGUCCCAGUUGAACAUAGUGGUGAAGAAAAUUCCCAGUGAGGAUACAGAGUUAUAUUUCUGCUGUUCCUUAACAGAGUUCUUAAUCUAAAGAUAUAUUACAGCUCUUCUUUACCUGACUCAUCCAACAGGACGUAUCUUUUUUUUUUCAGAGUACCUUAAAUGGACAAAAAAGUUAUGCUGAACAUGCUAGUAAUUUAUAACAUUUCUUUUAAGUAUACAUUCUUUUUAAGUGUUAGAAAUUGAAUAACCUGGAUGUAAGAUGCCCUGAACACAAAAAAUGAGGACUGGCCUUUUGCCAGUAAAGGGCAAUUGCAGCUGUGACAUAUCAGCUUCUCCACGUUAGGAAAAGAUUCAAGUUCAGCACCACUGCUGGAAGGUGUCUUGAUGCUGUGUCUUAUAACUACAAUUGGGGAAUAGAUAUGAGCAAGUGGUAUUGUCUCCUGCAUUUAAUAGUUGAUUGCUUCACUGAUUACAUAACAUAGCCAUGAUGAAGAAGAAGAACAGCAAUUGUAUUUCUUCUUCUUGUGUUACAUGUCCUUUCCUUUCCUUGCAGAGUAGGGAGAGAAAAUGAUGGUCUCAUCCUUUAUUGAAGAUUGAGAUACAGUUCUCUUAGUACUAUGUCAUGGUAUCAGUAGGGUUUUGUGCCUUUCCUUUUCUUGUGGCUAAGUUUGCUCAGUCCUGUUGGCUUCCUGAACUAGCUGGAAACUGUUUUUUCUUUUUUCUUUUUUCUUUCUUUUUUUUUUUUUUUUUACUAAUUUGUUUUCUUUCUGGAUUACUAUUUUACAUUAGCUAUGUUGGCUCAAAGAGGGCGCUGACAAUCGCACUCCAUUGAGUGGAGCCACACAUUUUGGCAGUGGAAAAUUAGUGCAUUGAUUUGGCCUCUCUCUUCAGACAGGAUUUUAUUCAAAUUUUGACUUACUGACCGAUAGAAAAGAUGGCAUUUUUUUUCAUGCUGAAUUACAUUUUUUCCUAACUUUCUGUUCCUCUUUUUAAAUUUAUUAUUUUAUUAUGCCUAAUGAGCCUGCUUUGGCAGAAGGGUUGGACUAGAUGAUCUCCAGAGGUCCCUUCCAGCCCCUACAAUUCUGUGAUUCUGUGAUGUUCCAAAUUAAAACAACACCAGUGUAUUUUUCUUAUAUGGUUAUGUCUCAAUGUCUUUAUAUUUAAACUUCCUAGAAAAAUUUGUGAGGACUAAUUUCUAGUUUGUCUUGGAACAUGACUGUUGCUUUGCUUACCUCAGUUAGAGGAAAAGGAAAGAAUAUUCUCAUUGUUUUACUCUAUUUAAAAAACUAGAUGCAGCAAAGCUUAACAGGUUUCUGAAUUUAACACUUAACAGUUACAGAGUUGAGUUUAACAAGGACUUACUAAACAACAUGCUUUUCUGUGCUGCAUAGAAUAUUCUAAGUCAAAAAACUUAGUGCAAAUAAAUGAUUAUGAAUUCAACUGUAACUAAAUUUA